rnacentral:misc_RNA from 1 species
GAUGAAGAACGUAGCGAAAUGCGAUACUUGGUGUGAAUUGCUGAAUCCCGUGAACCAUCGAGUCUUUGAACGCAAGUUGCGCCCGAAGCCAUUAGGCCGAGGGCACGCCUGCCUGGGCGUCACACGUCGUUGCCCCCCCAUCUACUCCUUCGGGAUUGCGGGGGGCGGAUGAUGGCCUCCCGUGCGCCUCGUCGCGCGGUUGGCAUAAAUGCCAAGUCCUCGGCGACGCACGCCACGACAAUCGGUGGUUGCGAAACCUCGGUUGCCCGUCGUGUGCGGUCGUCGCGCAUCGAGGGCUCGAAAAAAUUGCCGGGCUCCGGCUCGGCUUUCAACGCGACCCCAGGUCAGGCGGGGUUACCCGCUGAAUUUAAGCAUAUCAAUAAGCGGAGGA